UACGAAGGGGCUAGCGUUGCUCGGAAUCACUGGGCGUAAAGCGCACGUAGGCGGAUUGUUAAGUCAGGGGUGAAAUCCUGGAGCUCAACUCCAGAACUGCCUUUGAUACUGGCGAUCUCGAGUCCGGGAGAGGUGAGUGGAACUGCGAGUGUAGAGGUGAAAUUCGUAGAUAUUCGCAAGAACACCAGUGGCGAAGGCGGCUCACUGGCCCGGUACUGACGGCUGAGGUGCGAAAGCGUGGGGAGCAAACAGG
rnacentral:rRNA from 1 species